CCUACGGGGGGCAGCAGUGAGGAAUAUUGGUCAAUGGCCGGGAGUCUGAACCAGCCAAGUCGCGUGAGGGAAGACGGCCCUACGGGUUGUAAACCUCUUUUGUCAGGGAGCAAGGUGCAGGUCGGGACCUGCUGUGAGAGUACCUGAAGCAAAAGCAUCGGCUAAAUCCGUGCCAGCAGCCGCGGUAAUACGGAGGAUGCGAGCGUUAUCCGGAUUUAUUGGGUUUAAAGGGGGCGCAGGCGGAGGCACAAGUCAAGGGUAAAAUCCGCGGGCUUAACCCCCCUCCGGCAUUUGAUACUGUGUCCCUUGAGUGCGGGAAGGGUAGGCGGAAUGCGUGGUGUAGCGGUGAAAUGCAUAGAUAUCACGAAGAACUCCGAUCGCGAAGGCAGCCUACCGGAGCGCAACUGACGCUGAUGCUCGAAAGUGUGGGUAUCAAACAGGAUUAGAUACCCGAGUAGUC
rnacentral:rRNA from 1 species